GUCGCCUCCUAAAAGGUAACGGAGGCGCUCAAAGGUUCCCUCAGAAUGGUUGGAAAUCAUUCAUAGAGUGUAAAGGCAUAAGGGAGCUUGACUGCGAGACCUACAAGUCGAGCAGGGUCGAAAGACGGACUUAGUGAUCCGGUGGUUCCGCAUGGAAGGGCCAUCGCUCAACGGAUAAAAGCUACCCCGGGGAUAACAGGCUUAUCUCCCCCAAGAGUUCACAUCGACGGGGAGGUUUGGCACCUCGAUGUCGGCUCAUCGCAUCCUGGGGCUGUAGUCGGUCCCAAGGGUUGGGCUGUUCGCCCAUUAAAGCGGUACGCGAGCUGGGUUCAGAACGUCGUGAGACAGUUCGGUCCCUAUCCGUCGUGGGCGUAGGAAAUUUGAGAGGAGCUGUCCUUAGUACGAGAGGACCGGGAUGGACAUACCUCUGGUGUACCAGUUGUCGUGCCAACGGCAUAGCUGGGUAGCUAUGUGUGGACGGGAUAA
rnacentral:rRNA from 1 species